UCAUAGCCCCGAUGGGAGCGGCAUCCUUUUACGGGGGCUGAGGCUCUCGAAGACCCCGUAAAAGAUUGAGCGGACAGCGGGAAAACGG
rnacentral:sRNA from 1 species